rnacentral:piRNA from 1 species
GAUUGCAUGAGGUUCAGUGUCCUAGUUCU